rnacentral:rRNA from 1 species
AUUAAAAUAUAUUUAAUAUUUUUUUUAUUGUUAAUUUAUUAUAUAGAAAUAACUUUAUUUUUAGUAUUAUUUAAAGAAUUAAUAUUUUUUAUUUAUAAUUAAUUUUACUGUUAAGGUUUAUUAUAUAAUAUUAUGAAAGUAGAAUUUAUUUUUUGUACCUUUUGUAUCAGGGUUUAUUAAUUUAAUUCUAUUUAUUUUAGUUUUCCCGAAUUUAGAGGAGCUAUUUAUUAUUGUUAUUUAAUGUUUCAAAAUUAUUAAUAAAUUUUAAAUAGAUGUUAUAUGCUAUUCAUUUUUAAAUAUCUGGUUUCUUAAUAAUUGAAUUUAAUUCAGAAUUAUUAAAUCCCAAUGGAUCAAUUGAUUUUUAUUGUUAUUUAAUAAUUUAAUGUCUAGGGGGAUAAGCUCUUAAAUGUUUCUAUAAGUCAUAAUUAUUUAUAAUGUUUUGUAGGAUUAGAAAUUUCCAUCAUUUAUUUUGUUAUAAUUAUACUUUUUUUUAUUUUUAAUUUUAUGUGAUUUUGGAUUUUUAUUAAGAAUUUUUAUUUAAUUUUAUUUUAAUAGUUAUAAUGAUAGAAUUAGUAAAUUAUUAAUUUAUUAUAUAGUAACUCGGCAAAUUUAUUUUUCACCUGUUUAACAAAAACAUGUCUUAAUGAUUUCUUUAUUAAGUCUGGCCUGCUCAAUGAUUUAUUAUUAAAUAGCCGCGGUAUAUUGACUGUGCGAAGGUAGCAUAAUCAUUUGUCUUUUAAUUGGGGGCUUGUAUGAAUGGUCGGAUGAAAAAGUGUCUUUCUUUAUAAUAAAUAUUGAAUUUAAUUUCUUAGUUAAAAAGCUUAGAUAAUUAAAUGGGACGAGAAGACCCUAUAGAAUUUUAUUAUAUUAUAUUUAUUAAUUUAUUGGUUAUUUUUUAUUUUUAAGUUAAAUAUAAUUUUGUUGGGGCGACAUUGAGAUUUUUUUAACUCUCAUAAUUUACAGUUUAUAUAUUUAUAUAUUUAGGAUCCUUUAUUAUGGAUUUUUAGAUUAAAUUACCUUAGGGAUAACAGCGUAAUUUUUCUGGAGAGUUCUUAUCAAUAGAAAAGUUUGCGACCUCGAUGUUGGAUUAAAAUAAGAUUUAAGUGCAGAAGCUUAUUUUCUAGGUCUGUUCGACCUUUAAAUUUUUACAUGAUCUGAGUUCAGACCGGCGUGAGCCAGGUCGGUUUCUAUCUUUUUAUUUUUAUUGUGAGUUAGUACGAAAGGACCACUCACUUCAAAUAUUUUUGUUAUUUUUGUAUAUUUUUA